rnacentral:rRNA from 1 species
AGCAUAUCAAUAAGCGGAGGAAAAGAAACCAACAGGGAUUGUCUUAGUAACGGCGAGUGAAGCGACAAAAGCUCAAAUUUGAAAUCUGGCACCUUCGGUGUCCGAGUUGUAAUUUGAAGAAGGUAACUUUGGAGUUGGCUCUUGUCUAUGUUCCUUGGAACAGGACGUCACAGAGGGUGAGAAUCCCGUGCGAUGAGAUGUCCAACUCUAUGUAAAGUGCUUUCGAAGAGUCGAGUUGUUUGGGAAUGCAGCUCUAAGUGGGUGGUAAAUUCCAUCUAAAGCUAAAUAUUGGCGAGAGACCGAUAGCGAACAAGUACAGUGAUGGAAAGAUGAAAAGAACUUUGAAAAGAGAGUGAAAAAGUACGUGAAAUUGUUGAAAGGGAAGGGUUUGAGAUCAGACUUGGUAUUUUGUAUGUCUUGCUUUCGGGUGGGGCCUCUGCAGUUUACUGGGCCAGCAUCGGUUUGGACGGUAGGAUAAUGACAUUGGAAUGUGGCAC